rnacentral:misc_RNA from 1 species
GAGAGAGAGAGAGAGAGAGAGAGAAGAAAUUGUUUUAAGUUUUGGUUUGUAUUCUUUCGUUCACUCUGUGUGCGUCUCUCCCUAUGUCAUCUAUAGAGAGAAACAAAACGAGACAAAGAGAUGAACGCAAAAAUCUCAAAAUCUGGAAACAACCCAGUUCAGAAAACACCGAAAAUAACCCGACCUUGAAAAUCGUUUUUCUUAAGCCGGUGACGAUUGCCAAGGCAACCCUGUGAUUAAUAGGUACCUUUUUACCUCGACGCCAAGCUCCUCUCU